rnacentral:rRNA from 1 species
AUUGAACGCUGGCGGAAUGCUUUACACAUGCAAGUCGAACGGUAGAGGGGGCAACCCCUCGAGAGUGGCGAACGGGUGAGUAAUAUAUCGGAACGUGCCCAGUCGUGGGGGAUAACGUAGCGAAAGUUACGCUAAUACCACAUACGAUCUAAGGAUGAAAGCGGGGGAUCGCAAGACCUCGCGCGAUUGGAGCGGCCGAUAUCAGAUUAGGUAGUUGGUGGGGUAAAGGCUCACCAAGCCAACGAUCUGUAGCUGGUCUGAGAGGACGACCAGCCACACUGGAACUGAGACACGGUCCAGACUCCUACGGGAGGCAGCAGUGUGGAAUUUUGGACAAUGGACGCAAGUCUGAUCCAGCCAUUCCGCGUGCAGGAUGAAGGCCCUCGGGUUGUAAACUGCUUUUGUACGGAGCGAAAAGGUCUCUCUUAAUACGGGGGACUCAUGACGGUACCGUAAGAAUAAGCACCGGCUAACUACGUGCCAGCAGCCGCCGUAAAAC